CUGAGAGCAGAACAGAACAGAAUCUUCAUCAUCACACAAGACAAAACAACAACAAUGAACAACAUCAUCAUCCUCAUCUGGACACUCACACUGUUUGCUCAAGAGUGUAGAGGACAGUACACUGUUACUCAGAGUCCAUCAAUAACAGCAGCUCAAGGACAAGAAGUCAGAAUAAACUGUAAAGUCAGCAGUAGAGUGUGGGUGGUGGUAAUUCGUUUACACUGGUACUUACAGAAACCUGGAGAAGCUCCUAAACUCCUCAUAUAUGAGACAUCAAGCCGUUACACUGGAACUCCAUCUAGAUUCAGUGGCAGUGGAUCUAACAGUGAUUUCACUCUGACCAUCAGUGGAGUCCAGACUGAAGAUACAGGAGAUUAUUACUGUCAGAGUUACCACAGUGGUGGUGUGUUCACACAGUGAUAAAGAGUCGUACAAAAACCUCCAUCAGUCAGAGUCACAGUGACUGCACUGAUACAGAUGAGAGAAACUGCAGCUGCUGAUGGGUGUGAAUCAACUCAAUCACUCUUGUCUGUAGAUCACUAUAUUACAAUGCAGAACACUAUCUAAUAAUAAAUUCAGUCUGUACUGGUUAGGUUAAUCACUAUAAUGAAUGAACAAAAAAGGCUUGACACUCAACAAACAUUGCAGUCAAAAUAAAUAAAUUAAAUUAAAUUAGCUUGCAUGUUACUAUCAUAUUGGCUGUUCAUUGGUACUAAUAAUGCACAUAUUAAUAUUUUUUUUUUCUGCAUGACCAUAUUUUAGAUCCCUUUAUCCUACCACAUAACUAUUAAUAGCAAAUUAAGAGUUUAUUCAGCCAAA